GCAAACUUGGUCAUUUAGAGGAAGUAAAAGUCGUAACAAGGUCUCCGUUGGUGAACCAGCGGAGGGAUCAUUACAGAGUCUCGUACUCCCAAACCACUGCUUACGUACCUAUCGUUGCUUCGGCAGGGGGCUCCAGGGGGAGCCGCCUUGGGUGCCUGCCGGAGGUAUACACAAACUCUUGCCAUAUAAUGAAGCUCUGAGUAUCUAUUAAAUAAGUCAAAACUUUCAACAACGGAUCUCUUGGUUCUGGCAUCGAUGAAGAACGCAGC
rnacentral:misc_RNA from 1 species